CCCUUCAACUUAAAUACUAAACCUCCAAUCACCAAACAGACAUGGUCAGUUAUCCCCAAAACUGUAAACCAGCAUCAGUUUGCUGAUGUAUCAGAGGUGGCUCGCCAGACUGAGUACAAAAUAAAAACAUUAAAAAAAAAAGAAAAGAA